rnacentral:rRNA from 1 species
AUUGAACGCUGGCGGCAGGCCUAACACAUGCAAGUCGAGCGGAUGAAGGGAGCUUGCUCCUGGAUUCAGCGGCGGACGGGUGAGUAAUGCCUAGGAAUCUGCCUGGUAGUGGGGGAUAACGUCCGGAAACGGGCGCUAAUACCGCAUACGUCCUGAGGGAGAAAGUGGGGGAUCUUCGGACCUCACGCUACCAGAUGAGCCUAGGUCGGAUUAGCUAGUUGGUGGGGUAAAGGCCUACCAAGGCGACGAUCCGUAACUGGUCUGAGAGGAUGAUCAGUCACACUGGAACUGAGACACGGUCCAGGCUCCUACGGGAAGCAGCAGUGGGGAAUAUUGGACAGUGGGCGAUAGCCUGAUCCAGCCAUGCCGCGUGUGUGAAGAAGGUCUUCGGAUUGUAAAGCACUUUAAGUUGGGAGGAAGGGAAGUAAGUUAAUACCUUGCUGUUUUGACGUUACCCACAGAAUAAGCACCGGCUAACUACGUG